rnacentral:rRNA from 1 species
AGAUUGAACGCUGGCGGCAUGCCUUACACAUGCAAGUCGAACGGCAGCACGGGAGCAAUCCUGGUGGCGAGUGGCGAACGGGUGAGUAAUAUAUCGGAACGUGCCCAGUCGUGGGGGAUAACGCAGCGAAAGCUGUGCUAAUACCGCAUACGAUCUAUGGAUGAAAGCGGGGGAUCGCAAGACCUCGCGCGAUUGGAGCGGCCGAUAUCAGAUUAGCUAGUUGGUGGGGUAAAAGCCUACCAAGGCGACGAUCUGUAGCUGGUCUGAGAGGACGACCAGCCACACUGGAACUGACGACACGGUCCAGACUCCGUACGGGAGGCAGCGAGUGGGGUAAUUUUGGGAACAAGUGGGCGACGAAGCCUGGAUCCGAGACAAUCGACCCGGCGUGCAGGAUGGAACGGUCCGUUUCGGUUAGUAAACGUUCGUCGUUUUUU